rnacentral:tRNA from 1 species
GGUGAGAUGCCAGAGUGGUUAAUGGGUGGCACUCGAAAUGCCAUGGCUUCGGCCGCGCAAGUUCGAAUCUUGUUCUCAUCG